UGGCAGAGCUUGUGUGGUGUUCGGGAAUCCCUGCACCCAACUGUGGUGCCAGGUUCCCUGUAUCCGGUCAUUGUGUGGUAAGUGUCGAAGUUCUAUUUAGCACGAGUGUUACUCUUGUGCGCGAAAAAGACGAGUUAUGUGUCUAUCUAACUGCCCGAUGUUCAUCAUGUUUGCUAUAUUCCCGUCUAAGCGCCGGGUAUCCAAACCACAGAGUGU